rnacentral:misc_RNA from 1 species
AGUCAUCAACCCCUCCUGUUCUGUGCGGGAGCUGGGUUGGAGCUUGGGGGCCUGCGUCCGCGAGGUCGCUCCCCUGAAAUGCUUCGGUUUGGGCCUGCGGGCCGGACUCGGUUGGGCGUUGUACCAUCCUCGCUCGCAAAGUCCCCUGCAAACAGUUGCCCGCUGCUGACCGCCCCUCUGUGUGGUGGCCAAAACACUUUCUGUG